rnacentral:rRNA from 1 species
AUUGAACGCUGGCGGAAUGCUUUACACAUGCAAGUCGAACGGUAGAGGGGGCAACCCCUCGAGAGUGGCGAACGGGUGAGUAAUAUAUCGGAACGUGCCCAGUCGUGGGGGAUAACGUAGCGAAAGUUACGCUAAUACCGCAUACGAUCUAAGGAUGAAAGCGGGGGAUCGCAAGACCUCGCGCGAUUGGAGCGGCCGAUAUCAGAUUAGGUAGUUGGUGGGGUAAAGGCUCACCAAGCCAACGAUCUGUAGCUGGUCUGAGAGGACGACCAGCCACACUGGAACUGAGACACGGUCCAGACUCCUACGGGAGGCAGCAGUGGGGAAUUUUGGACAAUGGACGCAAGUCUGAUUCAGCCAUUCCGCGUGCAGGAUGAAGGCCCUCGGGCUGUAAACUGCUUUUGUACGGAACGAAAAGGUCUCUCUUAAUACGGGGGGCUCAUGACGGUACCGUAAGAAUAAGCACCGGCUAACUACGUGCCAGCAGCCGCCGUAA